GCGCCGGACUGGCCGAGCAGGACGGCGGUGCCGCCGCCGACGACGGCGGCGAGGACGUCCAGCCCCUCCCCCAGCGCG
rnacentral:tRNA from 3 species